AUUGAACGCUGGCGGCAGGCCUAACACAUGCAAGUCGAGCGAGCGGCGGACGGGUGAGUAAUGUAUGGGGACUGCCCGAUCGAGGGGGAUAACUACUGGAAACGGUGGCUAAUACCGCUUACUAUCGGUUAACCCAUAUGGGAUUAGCUAGUAGGUGGGGUAAAGGCUCACCUAGGCGACGAUCGCUAGCUGGUCUGAGAGGGUGAUCAGCCACACUGGGACUGAGACACGGCCCAGACUCCUACGGAGGCAGCAGUGGGGAAUAUUGCACAAUGGGCGCAAGCCUGAUGCAGCCAUGCCGCGUGUAUGAAGAAGGCCUUAGGGUUGUAAAGUACUUUCAGCAGGGAGGCGUUACCCGCCGAGAAAGCACCGGCUAACUCCGUGCCAGCAGCCGCGGUAAUUC
rnacentral:rRNA from 1 species